UGGGGAAUAUUGCGCAAUGGGCGAAAGCCUGACGCAGCAACGCCGUGUGAGGGAUGAAGGCUUUCGGGUCGUAAACCUCUGUCGGAAGGGAAGAACGGGCAUUGGUCUAAUAGGCCUUUGUUUUGACGGUACCUUUAGAGGAAGCACCGGCUAACUCCGUGCCAGCAGCCGCGGUAAUACGGAGGGUGCAAGCGUUAUUCGGAAUUACUGGGCGUAAAGCGCACGUAGGCGGCCUUGUAAGUCAGGGGUGAAAUCCCACGGCUCAACCGUGGAACUGCCUUUGAAACUGCAGGGCUUGAAUCCUGGAGAGGGUGGCGGAAUUCCUGGUGUAGGAGUGAAAUCCGUAGAUAUCAGGAGGAACACCGGUGGCGAAGGCGGCCACCUGGACAGGUAUUGACGCUG
rnacentral:rRNA from 1 species